rnacentral:rRNA from 1 species
UACGUAGGUGGCAAGCGUUGUCCGGAGUUAUUGGGCGUAAAGCGCGCGCAGGCGGUGCGGUAAGUCUCUGGUGAAAGCGCUCGGCUUAACUGGGCGAGGGCCGGGGAGACUGCCACGCUGGAGAGGAGCAGAGGCGAGUGGAAUUCCGGGUGUAGUGGUGAAAUGCGUAGAGAUCCGGAGGAACACCAGUGGCGAAGGCGGCUCGCUGGGCUCUACCUGACGCUGAGGCGCGAAAGCGUGGGGAGCGAACCGG